rnacentral:misc_RNA from 1 species
GAUGAAGAACGUAGCGAAAUGCGAUAAGUAAUGUGAAUUGCAGAAUUCAGUGAAUCAUCGAAUCUUUGAACGCACCUUGCGCUCUUUGGUAUUCCGAAGAGCAUGCCUGUUUGAGUGUCAUGAAAAUAUCAACCUUGACUUGGGUUUUGUGCUCUAGUCUCGGCUUGGAAUUGGGUGCUUGCCGCUUUUACGAGCGGCUCACCUUAAAUGUAUUAGCUGGAUCCGUCUUUGAGACUUGGUUUGACUUGGCGUAAUAAGUAUUACGCUAAGGACAUUCUUCGGAGUGGCCUCGUUUCUAGGACGCUUGUCCGCUUUCCAAUACAAGUUCCACCUCGUGGACAUGACUUUUUAUUAUCUGGCCUCAAAUCAGGUAGGACUACCCGCUGAACUUAAGCAUAUCAAUAAGCGGAGGA